rnacentral:lncRNA from 1 species
CAGAUGCAGACUUCUAGGUGUGCUAUGGUCCUUACACCCUUCAGUACACAGCAGCUGUGGUUUCCUGCACAGGAUUCGUCCCUUCACCAUCUCAACAUGGAUGUGGGAGGAGCUCUCGAGGCCGAUUAAAGGUGCAUUCUACUGUGCCCAGCUAACAAAAAUAAUAAGAAUUUGGUUUGUUUCAUCUUUCAGGACAGGGUUUCUCUGUCAGCCUUGGCUUCC